rnacentral:rRNA from 1 species
UACGAAGGGGGCUAGCGUUGCUCGGAAUUACUGGGCGUAAAGGGCGCGUAGGCGGCACUGUUAGUCAGGCGUGAAAGUCCUGGGCUCAACCUGGGAACUGCGCUUGAUACGGCAGAGCUAGAGGAUGGAAGAGGGUCGCGGAAUUCCCAGUGUAGAGGUGAAAUUCGUAGAUAUUGGGAAGAACACCGGUGGCGAAGGCGACUCUUUGGUCUGUAACUGACGCUGAGGCGCGAAAGCGUGGGGAGCAAACAGG